rnacentral:rRNA from 1 species
GACGAACGCUGGCGGCAUGCCUAAUACAUGCAAGUCGAGCGAACGGAUGAAGUGCUUGCACUUCUGACGUUAGCGGCGAACGGGUGAGUAACACGUAAGGAAUCUACCUAUAAGCGGGGGAUAACAUUCGGAAACGGGUGCUAAUACCGCAUAAUAUCUUCUUCCGCAUGGAAGAAGAUUGAAAGACGGCUCUGCUGUCACUUAUAGAUGACCUUGCGGUUAAUUAGUUAGUUGGUGGGGUAAUGGCCUACCAAGACGAGGAUGCAUAGCCGACCUGAGAGGGUGAUCGGCCACAUUGGGACUGAGACACGGCCCAAACUCCUACGGGAGGCAGCAGUAGGGAAUCUUCCGCAAUGGGCGAAAGCCUGACGGAGCAAUGCCGCGUGAGUGAAGAAGGCCUUCGGGUCGUAAAACUCUGUUAUAAGAGAAGAACAAAUUGUAGAGUAACUGCUACAGUCUUGACGGUAUCUUAUCAGAAAGCCACGGCUAACUACGUGCCAGCCGCCGCAGUAA